rnacentral:rRNA from 1 species
AAAGGAAUAGACGGGGACCCGCACAAGCAGCGGAGCAUGUGGUUUAAUUCGAAGCAACGCGAAGAACCUUACCAGGACUUGACAUCUCCUUGACAGGACCUUAACCGGUCCCUUCUUCGGACAAGGAAGACAGGUGGUGCAUGGUUGUCGUCAGCUCGUGUCGUGAGAUGUUGGGUUAAGUCCCGCAACGAGCGCAACCCUUGUCAUUAGUUGCCAUCAUUAAGUUGGGCACUCUAGUGAGACUGCCGGGGAUAACUCGGAGGAAGGUGGGGAUGACGUCAAAUCAUCAUGCCCCUUAUGUUCUGGGCUACACACGUGCUACAAUGGUCGGUACAAUAAGACGCAAUACCGUGAGGUGGAGCAAAUCUCAAAAACCGAUCCCAGUUCGGAUUGUAGGCUGCAACUCGCCUACAUGAAGUUGGAGUUGCUAGUAAUCGUGGAUCAGAAUGCCACGGUGAAUGCGUUCCCGGGUCUUGUACACACCGCCCGU